rnacentral:rRNA from 1 species
UACCAGCACCCCGAGUGGUCGGGACGUUUAUUGGGCCUAAAGCAUCCGUAGCCGGUUCUACAAGUCUUCCGUUAAAUCCACCUGCUUAACAGAUGGGCUGCGGAAGAUACUAUGGAGCUAGGAGGCGGGGGAGGCAAGCGGUACUCGAUGGGUAGGGGUAAAAUCCGUUGAUCCAUUGAAGACCACCAGUGGCGAAGGCGGCUUGCCAGAACGCGCUCGACGGUGAGGGAUGAAAGCUGGGGGAGCAAACCGG